GCCUGCGGCGAAAGCACGUUGAAUGCACCAGUUUCACAUAACAUGAGCCACUGAACAUACCAUCUCAUGUUACCUCUGAGCACAGGAAUGAAGCAACGUUGCGCGUGGUCAGUAUGUGGAUGGGUGACCAUCUGGACAAUCGCGUGUUGGCU
rnacentral:rRNA from 1 species